CCAUGAAGAGUGUAUUGAUGAUUUGUGUCGGCACCGUUCUGUGUUGGUUUUCAAUCAUGAAAUCGAGCGUGUCGGCCAAACCUUGUUUUUUCGGUUGUCGAGAAACUUCGGACAGUUCUACUGACAUCGUAGACUCAGUUCCAGGAUUGCAGGAUGAUCAAAAUGCUAGGACUGUAACUGUGGUUCAAAACAACCAACAUUCAAAUGUUUACAACUACGCGGACAUGGAACCUUCAUACCAUAGGCAUCGCCAUUAAUAUGAAGAAGGACUAGGUUCUUUAUUGACUAGCUUGUUAAUCAAAUAUCAUUCUCUGUCUUAAGUCAUUCUACAUAACUGGAAGCGGAGCAACAACAUUAUUUCAAAAUAAAACGUAAGUUUAUA